GGGGACGUAGUAUAACCUGGCAGAAUAGGAGCCUCCAGAGCUUCGGAUCUGGGUUCAAAUAUCCCUGAGGGAGAUCACAAAUCCCUCUGGAUUUGAGUGUCCCAGCGUCCCCA
rnacentral:tRNA from 1 species